AACGAACGCUGGCGGCAGGCUUAACACAUGCAAGUCGAACGCCCCGCAAGGGGAGUGGCAGACGGGUGAGUAACGCGUGGGAACAUACCCUUUCCUGCGGAAUAGCUCUGGGAAACUGGAAUUAAUACCGCAUACGCCCUACGGGGGAAAGAUUUAUCGGGGAAGGAUUGGCCCGCGUUGGAUUAGCUAGUUGGUGGGGUAAAGGCCUACCAAGGCGACGAUCCAUGGCUGGUCUGAGAGGAUGAUCAGCCACAUUGGGACUGAGACACGGCCCAAACUCCUACGGGAGGCAGCAGUGGGGAAUAUUGGACAAUGGGCGCAAGCCUGAUCCAGCCAUGCCGCGUGAGUGAUGAAGGCCUUAGGGUUGUAAAGCUCUUUCACCGAUGAAGAUAAUGACGGUAGUCGGAGAAGAAGCCCCGGCUAACUUCGUGCCAGCCGCCGCGGUAAGAC
rnacentral:rRNA from 1 species